AACAGGAUUAGAUACCCUGGUAGUCCACGCCGUAAACGAUGUCGACUUGGAGGUUGUUCCCUUGAGGAGUGGCUUCCGGAGCUAACGCGUUAAGUCGACCGCCUGGGGAGUACGGCCGCAAGGUUAAAACUCAAAUGAAUUGACGGGGGCCCGCACAAGCGGUGGAGCAUGUGGUUUAAUUCGAUGCAACGCGAAGAACCUUACCUACUCUUGACAUCCAGAGAACUUAGCAGAGAUGCUUUGGUGCCUUCGGGAACUCUGAGACAGGUGCUGCAUGGCUGUCGUCAGCUCGUGUUGUGAAAUGUUGGGUUAAGUCCCGCAACGAGCGCAACCCUUAUCCUUUGUUGCCAGCGAUUCGGUCGGGAACUCAAAGGAGACUGCCGGUGAUAAACCGGAGGAAGGUGGGGAUGACGUCAAGUCAUCAUGGCCCUUACGAGUAGGGCUACACACGUGCUACAAUGGCGCAUACAAAGAGAAGCGACCUCGCGAGAGCAAGCGGACCUCAUAAAGUGCGUCGUAGUCCGGAUCGGAGUCUGCAACUCGACUCCGUGAAGUCGGAAUCGCUAGUAAUCGUGGAUCAGAAUGCCACGGUGAAUACGUUCCCGGGCCUUGUACACACCGCCCGUCACACCAUGGGAGUGGGUUGCAAAAGAAGUAGGUAGCUUAACCUUCGGGAGGGCGCUUACCACCUUGUGAUUCAUGACUGGGGUGAAGUCGUAACAAGGUAACC
rnacentral:rRNA from 1 species